rnacentral:rRNA from 1 species
UAUACGACCGUACCGCAAACCGACACUGGUGCGCGAGAUGAGUAUUCUAAGGCGCUUGAGAGAACUCAGGAGAAGGAACUCGGCAAAUUGACACCGUAACUUCGGAAGAAGGUGUGCCCUAUUAGUGUGUAGUGAACAACGAAGCAUGAAUGGGUUGCAAAAAAUCGGUGGCUGCGACUGUUUAUUAAAAACACAGCACUCUGCAAACACGAAAGUGGACGUAUAGGGUGUGACGCCUGCCCGGUGCUGGAAGAUUAAAUGAUGGGGUGCAAGCUCUUGAUUAAAGUCCCAGUAAACGGCGGCCGUAACUAUAACGGUCCUAAGGUAGCGAAAUUCCUUGUCGGGUAAGUUCCGACCUGCACGAAUGGCGUAACGAUGGCCACACUGUCUCCUCCUGAGACUCAGCGAAGUUGAAAUGUUUGUGAUGAUGCAAUCUCCCCGCGGAAAGACGGAAAGACCCCAUGAACCUUUACUGUAGCUUUGUAUUGGACUUUGAACAGAUCUGUGUAGGAUAGGUGGGAGGCUUUGAAGCAGGGUCGCUAGAUCUUGUGGAGCCAACGUUGAAAUACCACCCUGGUGUGUUUGAGGUUCUAACCUAGGUCCAUUAUCUGGAUCGGGGACAGUGCAUGGUAGGCAGUUUGACUGGGGCGGUCUCCUCCCAAAGCGCAACGGAGGAGUUCGAAGGUACGCUAGUUACGGUCGGACAUCGUGACGAUAGUGCAAUGGCAUAAGCGUGCUUAACUGCGAGACUCACAAGUCGAGCAGAUGCGAAAGCAGGACAUAGUGAUCCGGUGGUUCUGUAUGGAAGGGCCAUCGCUCAGCGGAUAAAAGGUACUCUGGGGAUAACAGGCUGAUACCGCCCAAGAGUUCAUAUCGACGGCGGUGUUUGGCACCUCGAUGUCGGCUCAUCUCAUCCUGGGGCUGUAGCCGGUCCCAAGGGUAUGGCUGUUCGCCACUUAAAGAGGUACGUGAGCUGGGUUUAAAACGUCGUGAGACAGUUUGGUCCCUAUCUUCCGUGGGCGCUGCAGAUUUGAGGAAGCCUGCUCCUAGUACGAGAGGACCGGAGUGGACACACCUCUGGUGUAUCGGUUGUCACGCCAGUGGCAUUGCCGAGUAGCUAAGUGUGGAAGAGAUAACCGCUGAAAGCAUCUAAGCGGGAAACUCGUUUCAAGAUGAGAUCUGCCGGGGCCUUGAGCCCCCUAAAGAGUCGUUCAAGACCAGGACGUUGAUAGGUCAGGUGUGGAAGCG